ACACUCCUGCGGGAGGCAGCAGUGGGGAAUUUUGGACAAUGGGCGAAAGCCUGAUCCAGCAAUGCCGCGUGUGUGGAGAAGGCCUUCGGGUUGUAAAGCACUUUUGUCCGGAAAGAAAUCCUUGGCUCUAAUACAGUCGGGGGAUGACGGUACCGGAAGAAUAAGCACCGGCUAACUACGUGCCAGCAGCCGCGGUAAUACGUAGGGUGCGAGCGUUAAUCGGAAUUACUGGGCGUAAAGCGUGCGCAGGCGGUUUGCUAAGACCGAUGUGAAAUCCCCGGGCUCAACCUGGGAACUGCAUUGGUGACUGGCAGGCUAGAGUAUGGCAGAGGGGGGUAGAAUUCCACGUGUAGCAGUGAAAUGCGUAGAGAUGUGGAGGAAUACCGAUGGCGAAGGCAGCCCCCUGGGCCAAUACUGACGCUCAUGCACGAAAGCGUGGGGAGCAAACAGGAUUAGAAACCCCUGUAGUCCCAUG
rnacentral:rRNA from 1 species